UACGUAGGCAGCAAGCGUUGUUCGGAAUUACUGGGCGUAAAGAGUGUGUAGGCGGUGCUCUAAGUUUGUUGUGAAAUCUCCCGGCUUAACCGGGAGGGUGCGGCGAAUACUGAGAUGCUGGAGUGCCGGAGAGGUAAGCGGAAUUCCUGGUGUAGCGGUGAAAUGCGUAGAUAUCAGGAGGAACACCGGUGGCGAAGGCGGGUCUCUGGGCAGUAACUGACGCUGAGGAGCGAAAGCGUGGGGAGCGAACAGG
rnacentral:rRNA from 1 species